rnacentral:rRNA from 1 species
AUUGAACGCUAGCGGGAUGCCUUACACAUGCAAGUCGAACGAGUGGCGGAAGGGUGAGGAAUAAAUCGGAACGUGCCCAGUAGCGGGGGAUAACUACUCGAAAGAGUGGCUAAUAACGUACACAAGUGGAGCGGCCGAUUUCGGAUUAGAGAGGUGGUGGGGUAAAGGCUCACCAAGGCAACGAUCCGUAGCUGGUUUGAGAGGAAGACCAGCCACACUGGGACUGAGACACGGCCCAGACUCCUACGGGAGGCAGCAGUGGGGAAUUUUGGACAAUGGGGGAAACCCUGAUCCAGCCAUCCCGCGUGUAUGAGAAGGCCUUCGGGUUGUAAAGUACUUUUAGCUGAGAAGCGUUAUCUACAGAAUAAGCACCGGCUAACUACGUGCCAGCAGCCGCGGUAAUUC